rnacentral:rRNA from 1 species
UACGAAGGGGGCUAGCGUUGCUCGGAAUCACUGGGCGUAAAGGGCGCGUAGGCGGCCAUUCAAGUCAGAGGUGAAAGCCCAAGGCUCAACCUUGGAAUUGCCUUUGAUACUGUUUGGCUUGAGACCGGAAGAGGUAAGUGGAACUGCGAGUGUAGAGGUGAAAUUCGUAGAUAUUCGCAAGAACACCAGUGGCGAAGGCGGCUCACUGGCCCGAUACUGACGCUGAGGCACGAAAGCGUGGGGAGCAAACAGG